rnacentral:rRNA from 1 species
GAGCGGACCGACGGGAGCUUGCUCCCUUAGGUCAGCGGCGGACGGGUGAGUAACACGUGGGUAACCUGCCUGUAAGACUGGGAUAACUCCGGGAAACCGGGGCUAAUACCGGAUGCUUGAUUGAACCGCAUGGUUCAAUCAUAAAAGGUGGCUUUUAGCUACCACUUACAGAUGGACCCGCGGCGCAUUAGCUAGUUGGUGAGGUAACGGCUCACCAAGGCGACGAUGCGUAGCCGACCUGAGAGGGUGAUCGGCCACACUGGGACUGAGACACGGCCCAGACUCCUACGGGAGGCAGCAGUAGGGAAUCUUCCGCAAUGGACGAAAGUCUGACGGAGCAACGCCGCGUGAGUGAUGAAGGUUUUCGGAUCGUAAAACUCUGUUGUUAGGGAAGAACAAGUACCGUUCGAAUAGGGCGGNACCUUGACGGUACCUAACCAGAAAGCCACGGCUAACUACGUGCCAGCAGCCGCGGUAAUACGUAGGUGGCAAGCGUUGUCCGGAAUUAUUGGGCGUAAAGCGCGCGCAGGCGGUUUCUUAAGUCUGAUGUGAAAGCCCCCGGCUCAACCGGGGAGGGUCAUUGGAAACUGGGGAACUUGAGUGCAGAAGAGGAGAGUGGAAUUCCACGUGUAGCGGUGAAAUGCGUAGAGAUGUGGAGGAACACCAGUGGCGAAGGCGACUCUCUGGUCUGUAACUGACGCUGANGCGCGAAAGCGUGGGGAGCGAACAGGAUUAGAUACCCUGGUAGUCCACGCCGUAAACGAUGAGUGCUAAGUGUUAGAGGGUUUCCNCCCUUUAGUGCUGCAGCAA